UGUAAUUGUUGAACCCUACAAAUCCCACGGCGUCAUCGUUGCAGCGCGUACAACACGUCACUGUACAUUGGUUUCGGAUUGAAGCACGUGCAUUAUAGACGCGUACGGUUCUCGAUAUUACAAUGCCCUUACCCUAUACUCGAGCGGCUUUUGUUUCACGCGGCUUACUAAUAAGUACACCUUUAUCCGUGCAUAAAUGCCUAUUGACCCGCUGGAUGUAAAUGCAUUAGACCGGUUCGUUU